UACAGAGGGUGCAAGCGUUGUUCGGAAUUAUUGGGCGUAAAGAGCGUGUAGGCGGUUCGAUAAGUCGGCUGUGAAAGUCCAGGGCUCAACCCUGGGAUGCCGGUCGAAACUGUCGGACUAGAGUUCGGAAGAGGCGAGUGGAAUUCCCGGUGUAGCGGUGAAAUGCGCAGAUAUCGGGAGGAACACCAAUGGCGAAGGCAGCUCGCUGGGACGUUACUGACGCUGAGACGCGAAAGCGUGGGGAGCAAACAGG
rnacentral:rRNA from 1 species